rnacentral:lncRNA from 1 species
AUCUUGUCAUCAUCACCUCGUUGCCUCUUUUUUUCGCUCAGCUCCACAUAAUGCUGAUCUGCAUCUCUACUAAGUAUUUAUGUAUGCUUUAGACUCUACAUGACGAGUGCAUUUGUAGCGGGUUCCUCUAGGAUCUCUGCUUCUCUAGGCAUGGAGAUGAUACUUUAUUGGAUCUCUUUAUCCUCUCAGACCAAUUAAAGGGUAGGGUGCGAAGAGGGAAGAGAGGAACAUAGGCAGGGAGAUUUAUAUUUCAUCGAAAAUCAUAGGAUGUUGUGAAUUUCAUAAAGCUGAGAACCGCUGGAAGAGGGAAAGGGCUUCACUGUUAUUGAGCGCUUAGAAGAGAAGAAGGCGCUUCUUAGUGAGGGUUUAUUGAUGUGAAAUCUAAGAGAAAUGAUUCAGCCUCCUGGGGAAAAAGGAUUUCCUCGCUUGGAAUCAUUCUUGAGCAAGUUGAGCUUUUCUUUACCUCUUUGGCGUGGAUGCUGAGCUCUCUAACUGGUGUGGGCGUCUUUAAUGGGCCUCUAACUGGCACGGCCUUGGAGAAAUUGGUCGAGAAAAAGAGAUCGGGACAAACCUGUGUGAAGCCCGGACUUGUUUCACCAAGGCCCACUUCUGUGCAUGUUUCCCUCCACGCUGAGAGACUGCUGGAGACGAAUAGGAAAAUGAAUGGAGGGAAACAUUAAAAGAGAGCUAAAUGCAAAUGGAGAGAUGGAUAGAAAUGUAGAGAGAGAUAGAGAGAUGGUGAUUGAAAGAAAGUUAGAGAGAGAGAGAGAGAGAGAGAUGACCUGGCAGGGCCAGACUUCCGCCUAUUGCGGCCCGUUGAAUUAUAAAUCCCCUCUUUAAUGAUAUCAACCAUUGAAAAAAAAAGGGGAAGAAAAAACAAAAGCUUAUCCAAUUCUGGUCCCCGUCCCUUUUCUGUACGCCUGAUCACUUUGGC